rnacentral:rRNA from 1 species
AUUGAACGCUGGCGGCAGGCCUAACACAUGCAAGUCGAACGAGUGGCGGACGGGUGAGUAAUGUCUGGGAAACUGCCUGAUGGAGGGGGAUAACUACUGGCAACGGUAGCUAAUACCGCAUACCAUCGGAUGUGCCCCGAUGGGAUUAGCUAGUAGGUGGGGUAAAGGCUCACCUAGGCGCAGAUCCCUAGCUGGUCUGAGAGGAUGACCAGCAACACUGGAACGGAGACACGGUCCAGACUCCUACGGGAGGCAGCAGUGGGGAAUAUUGCACAAUGGGCGCAAGCAUGAUGCAGCCAUGCCGCGUGUAUGAAGAAGGCCUUCGGGUGGUAAAGUACUUUCAGCGGGGAGGCGUUACUCGCAGAAGAAGCACCGGCUAACUCCGUGCCAGCAGCCGCGGUAAUUC